AAAGAGCAAGAUACCUUGUGGUUCCAAAAGCUUCAGAAGACUAAGGGAAUUGUAUUUUCGAAUUCUUUUUUUUUUCAUUGCGUACGUCUCUAUAUAUUUUUCAUGGGAUUGACAUCAGUAUGAUUACCCGUUGAAAGUCUCAAAAAAAAAAUUGUUACAAGCUCUCGCUCUGCUGGGUGUGAUACUGGUGUAUCCAUUGUUCCGCUUCAUAUGCUAUUGUUAUAGCCUUAGCGCCGUUGAAGAAAGUCUGCAGGUCAAAGGUCGAGAGAUCAGCUGGUUGAUCUCCCGUAACUCUUAUCCGUUGCAUUCUUCCUAAGGGACCAAGAUUCCUCCUUAAUUCAGAUUGUAAGCUGAACGGUUAUUAAUAACUGGAUACUAGUAUCAAAUGUUCUUGAUUGGGAGAUAUUGAUUCCAAGAACAAUGCCAAAUGACAUCUCUUGAGCAUAUAAAUCAGUCCUUUACACCGCCAUUCUUGAAGAAGACAUUAGAGGUAUAGGGUUGCCGGAGUGAAGUACGGAGCAUAAAUGAAUGGCUGAUCAAAUAAUAAUCUCUGUAAUAAAAAAAGGUGGUGUUUGACUCCGAAAUUUGAGAGUCAUUAGAUAGUCAGGAUUGAUCCGAGAGGCCCAUCACACGGUCUCUGUCGUCCGGACGGAGCUUUGACUUCGACGGCUAGGAAAACUUCGCUAAUUAUACGGAUGAGUCACCGUAAAGAAGUGUUUGUUAAUUGUUAUCUCUUCCAUGAAACCUAUUUCUCCUUCUUUUUUUUUUCUUCUUCUGCUACUACGAUUCUUCUCUUCGCCCGCGAAGAAACUCUAAAUUUUGAGAUUUGAGUUUCCUUGAUGUGCUCUACAGAAAAUUUAGGAGGCAAGGCGAUGAGAGGAAAAGAAGAAGAAGGGUUUCAAUUAUUGAUGACGUUGAUUGUUGAUAAAAUCGGUGGUGGUUAGGAACAAGAUCGUUAGGUCAAGUGAUCGCAGAGUCCUCAAUAUCUUCAGGUAAUUUUGGAAAAAGGAAAACUCUAGUUCUGGACCAUGGUCAGAUUAAGCUAAAUGACAAAUCCAUGGUUAAGAGGAGGACGAAAAGUCUGGAAUUCCCCUCAUUACUCAUUCAAGUUGGAAAAUUUGAUCCUUCUCACAGUGGGUGGUGAAGUUGAUACCUUGAAAGUGGUUACUGACGAAGAAAAUGGUGUUAUUAUGGGAGCUUCAGGUAAAGACUCAAAAAUAUACUGAAAUACGAUCAGAGAUAGUUGGAACUCAAGUUGAUGCUUCUUAGUUGAGUUGCUACAACUGAAAUGAGAAAGGGGAGCACUAAGCCACGGUUCAAACUGGUGUAUCAGUUCUCUAGGUAAUAUAUUAUCAUUAUCAUAUCAACCGUGGAUACUUCUUUGUCUUCCAAUUGUACAACAAUAAAGCUAAAAGCAUGGACAAGUAAAUCAAUACUACAUUUGGCCGAUGAUUGCCAUGAAGAAUUUAAUAUUUAGGAAUUCGUUUACGACAUUGUCAAAAUUUAUGAUGCUACAUUUUUUCGCUUUGGCUAAGUUGCUCGGCACGAAAACUAAGCCUAUGAAACAUAAUAAUUAAUAAUUUGUUGCACAACAUUCUAAAAGUUGGGGAAUGAAAUAUUGUGGUCAUUGGUCACUUUAUAAACUUAAAAACAAUUGAGGACUAAAGAAUUUUUAAUUUAUCAAGCAUUUAUUUGUCUAAUCAGAUUUGUUGAUGCAAUUAUAUUGAUAUAGCAUUUUUCGUAGCCAAUAGGCAUUCAUCCGUAUACUGGACAAGGUGCAACAGCCUACAUUCCUACGUUUAUGUUAAAAUCAACACACUUCUCGGUAUAAUUUGAUUGAUAUUAAACAAUCUCCUAAAAGAUCUAAAAGAUUUUCGGUUCUCAGCUUCAUCAAUUUGGUGUCCGAUUCAUUAACAGUUCAGUAGCGUUUGAUUCAUGGAAUAAAAUCCCUAUUUUAUUUGCUAAAAUAUUGGCGUUCGAUUUAUUAGCAUCCUACAUACUGUGUUUGUUGAUUCAAUCAAUCGCUAUCUUAUUAUGUCUUUUUCAAGCAAAUUUAGUUGAAUUUUCAAUUAGGUAAUAUAUUUUUGAUACAUUAAUCCAGUUGGAUCAAAAUCUGAUUGUGGGUUUUGUAUGUGCAAUGAUUUUGAUCGUGGAUUUUGUUAUUCAAUGAUUUUGAUUGUGGUUAUACGAGUUGCAAGUGUAUUUCGUAACUUCGAUGAUUUUGGUCGUGGGUUUUGAGAGAUGGGUCUCCGAGUUGUCAUUCUAAUAAAAAUCUCGAAGAGGUAAAAUCAUUAAGAAGAUUUGCAGAGUAAAAAGGGAAGAUCAAGAUUAAUUUCAGGGGGAUUUAACAAGGAGGGAAACAUUGGCAUUGCUCGGUAUUAAUGAGUUAUUAUGGAAAGGGUUCAAAUUCAAGAAGUAAGAGUAGAAAAACUCACUUCGCUUUCUAUAACUUACGUGCAUUCGAUCUGCAUUGGGUUGCCCAGUAUUUAAUUAUACAUCUCUUAGUUUCAAUUAUCUUUGUUUCAGUCUGAAUUGGAUUAUUUACAGUUUUCUUUCUUCAUUAUUUGGAUUUUGUAGGGUUUAAGAUGAAUUUUAAAGGUACUUUAAAACGACCACCCUGUCUAUUUUAUGAACUGAGCUAUUUCUCCAUCCAUAUUAACACCACCUUGAUGUCUUUCCAGACACUCUACGAAUCCUAUUCCUGAUCUGGGAGGUACUUUACAAUU